rnacentral:lncRNA from 1 species
GAGCUGUUAAAGCCUCCUCUCUGUUCAGGCCCUUAACUGGGAUCAUUCGGGCACUGAAGAUGAUACAGAACCAUAAACUUUGGUCUUGGUAGAGCUACACCUUCACCUCUGCCAGUUUUGCAGUGGUGUUUGCAGCUGGACCAGGACCAUUAUCCAACUCAGCUUGGCACGGCUCAAGUGCACAACUGCAACCUUUUCCAUGACCCAAAAGUCAGUGCCACUCUGUGGGCUGGCAGUUUGCAAAUAAAACAUAUCCUUAAUGAAGUGUGGAAGCUCCUGUUCUUUCCCUUCCUCAAGAGACGUGCCUUAAUCUCUGGCUCAGAGCCUUGUCAAAUGCUGCAGUACAGAACUGGCAAGCUCAACGCUGCUAAUGGAUUGAAACCUUCACCAGGUUGUUCAUUUCUAGAGGGGCUUCUGAGGAGUAAUGACAACGUUAUUGUGCAGAAUUACCUGCUGUGGUUUAAAAAAUGCACCUGCCAGUGUGAAAAUCUGGGAAUCUGGUGA